UACAGAGGUCCCAAGCGUUGUUCGGAUUCAUUGGGCGUAAAGCGUGCGCAGGCGGCGGCUCAAGUCAGGUGUGAAAUCCCCGGGCUUAACCUGGGAAUUGCGCUUGAAACUAGGCUGCUUGAGUGUGGCAGAGGGGGGUGGAAUUCCACGUGUAGCAGUGAAAUGCGUAGAGAUGGUGGAGGAACACCGAUGGCGAAGGCAGCCCCCUGGGUCAACACUGACGCCUCAUGCACGAAAGCGUGGGGAGCAACAGG
rnacentral:rRNA from 1 species